UUGUUGACACCCCCCCCCCCCCACACACACACACUUAAAUGUUUUUCUGAUGUCUCAAAAGUAUUCUCUCAAUUGUCUGUCUGCCGUCGUCCUAGGGAGGCUCCAACCACCGGGAACAAAAUUCCUUGCGCGUUGUUGACAUGACUCGGCCAAGGGUGCCGAAGGUGAAGCCCAGAAUUACGGGGCGCCGCGAAGGCACCGGCCGUCGUCAUUUUCCUCGCCGGUUGCCGCAAAGUGCAAAGUCGUCGUCGUCGUCGUCGCCGCCGCCGCCGCCUCAAGCGGUCCCUUCGAAUGACGACGCGGCCCUCGAUCGGGGCUGCCGGAGCUUUUGUCAGCGCAAGCGGAGGUCGGGAAACGCAGGCGGGCGUCGGGCCAGUCGGCUCGCCGGCGCCACCGGGGUUAGCAUAUUAGCUGCGGUCGAGGCCGUUCCGAACAUGACGUCGGCUUCCACCAAAGUCGGAGAAAUCUUUUCAGCGGCCGGUGCCGCUUUCAGCCGACUCGGAGAACUCACCAUGCAGCUUCACCCCGUGGCAGAAAGCAACCCAGGCAGGAGCCCCGCUAAGCGGAAGCACGAAGACGUCGCUCGGAGCGGCUCGUCCGAGGGCGUCCCGCCGCCGAAGACCGCGGCGACCAAGAAGCCCGCCGUCGGCGGUGCCGCUCCAGGUCCGGGCCCCGGCGGCCAGCCCGCUGCCGCGAAGAAGCGGAAGACCGCCGCGACCUGGUGGACAUCGAGGGACCGGUUCGAGCGUGCCCGUCCAAAAAGCUCAACUUCGACCAAGAUACGCUGAACCUGGACUCCGGCCUCAUCAUGAACUCCGGCGACCUUCCGCUGCUGUCGCGCUGACGUCAUGGCACACCCGAAUUGAGUUGCCAACAAGCGAGCGGCGGACGAGGCUGCGGACGCUCAACGCCAAAAACGACCAUUUGGGGAACUCCUGAAGUUGAGCGCUUCGCACUGCAACGGUUUUUUGUUCUUCUUGUUUUUCGGCAAGCAAAGACACUUGAAAAAAAUAAAAAGGCAUCUAUGAA